rnacentral:rRNA from 1 species
CGCCUACGGGAGGCAGCAGUAGGGAAUCUUCCACAAUGGACGAAAGUCUGACGGAGCAACGCCGCGUGAGUGAAGAAGGGUUUCGGCUCGUAAAGCUCUGUUGGUAGUGGAGAAAGAUAGAGGUAGUAACUGGCCUUUAUUUGACGGUAAUUACUUAGAAAGUCACGGCUAACUACGUGCCAGCAGCCGCGGUAAUACGUAGGUGGCAAGCGUUGUCUGGCUUUAUUGGGCGUAAAGCGAGUGCAGGCGGGUCAAUAAGUCUGCUGUGAAAGCCUU